UGGCAUGUUUGUGUACUCUGACGCGUAUCUGUGCCUCUGAGCAACUGACACAGAUCCCCAUGUCCCACUGUAGUUAUGAACCCAGUCAGGCUGAGCAGCAUCAGAUCGUGUCUGGGAUGAUUAGUUCAUCUUACGUGACUCUGGUCAGCAAGCACUGACAGAGUCUGGCUGUAUGGCAUCAUCUCUGUCUGGACGGAAAUUGCAAAGGAAAGUACUCCAUUACCGUCGCGUGCGCAUUGCUUUCCCCCAUUUGUAAACAAGGUGAAACUCAUGUGUGCUCUAUGUCAGCAGCAAUGCAAAGGCCUUACGGGUUUGGAAAGACAUGAGGCAGAGGCAGAGAACAUGGCUAAGCUCUGUAGUUACACAGGACCUUCCGUCUCAUCAGAACCAAAAUGCAUGUUCGCUGUGGGGUGAAGACAGCUUUCUGAAAUUACAAAGACCCAGGACUGUCAGUUGAACGUAGGAACCAAUUUAUGUUUUUUUCCUCUAUUGUUUGUGUAUGUGUUUGGGCAGAAUGGUGUGUUGAGUUACCAUGUACUGCUGGUACAGCUGUGCAAGUUGAUGAGUCAGCAUUGAAGGCUCAUGACUGGCCUGGGAACCAAUUUUGUGAAGACAGACUAAACACACUGAUGGACUUUCACCAGCGAUAUAGCACUCAAAUGACUUCAAAGGUCACCUUAGGCCAUUAGAUUCUCUUACAUUCAUCCUACUUUACUUAGUUGGCAAGAUUUUAGUUGGAUAAUUGGUUCUUUGGAGAUUAAAAAAGUUUUUGAUGUGAAAUUAUAGGUUCUUAACUUGUGAGUUUUUAAAGGUACACUCAGUUUUUUCAGUAAGUGUUUUUAUGUUAUUCUGUCCA